GGUAUAAUUGAAAUGAUAAUUCCGACUGCUUCCAUUUCAUUCCCUUUUCUCUUUUAAAAGAGGGAGGAUAUGUAUUUCGAAAAAAAUAAAAGUAAUAAUGGCGGGAAAGUAGAAAAAAUAAUUCGUCGGUAACAAAAUUCCCAAAUACCCGACGAAGCUCAUUUUUCUCUAAAGAUAAUGUUGCUCUCUUCUCUUCAUGAAACCCCGCUCUCUGACAAAAAAUUUGUCCUAAAAAAAAAUAAUUCUUCCCAACGAGAUAUUCCAAAAUAUUCCAGAAAGAUGAAACUCAUUUUUCUCGUAUUUUUUUUUUUUUUUUUAUAAAAAUAUGCGCUCGAAAAUUUUAUCCCUUAAAAAUAUUUCGUUCGAUCCACGACGGAAAAAAUGGAAUAAGUAAAUCAAAAUAUGAAAAGGGAAUGUUUCGAACAGAUAUUCAUUUCUAAGAAAAACAUUUCUCAUGAAAUCGCAUCGCAUCGAAAAUUAUUCCCUCUCGAAAGAUCCGAAAUUCUCUCGAUCUAAAAUUUUCAAACGAAAACCCAUACUUCUUCGAAAACUUUUCUCCUCUCGAACAGAAAGAGCAAUAAAACAAUUGUUAAAAAAACUCCAAAAUCUCUUCGAUUCAUUACACGACAAAUAAAACUCGUACGUAUACAAAAAUUCUCUCGUUCCAAACGAAAAAUCAAUUCCUCGAUUCCCCAAAUCGUCUACACUAUACUAUAUAUCUUCCUCUCGAAAACCGAUUCUUCCAAUUCUCCGCAAAAUAAAAUCGAUAAAACCCCCCCCUUUUUUUUUAUCGAAUCGAAGAUCGGACUCGGGAAUGGGAAAAGGCGAGACGUAUGCGGCGGGGCAAACAUGGCUGCGACGGCCGUCGGAACAUGGCGGGCCGCCUCGCGAUGGCCAAACGUCGCGUCCUUGUUACGGAAUUCCUUUUCGCCUGUGUUUACAUCUCGCUGUGUUUUGAAGAAUCGUCGCGUUCCAACGGUCACCGCUCACCGUUGGAAUAUCGGCUCGAGGCACAACACGUCGAACCGCGCUUCUAUUAAUACGUAGCUCACGAGCUGUCGGCCAGUGCGUUUCGUGCGUGUGUGAAAACCGUGUGCUACCGAGUAACAACGACCGAGUUCCCCUCUCUCCUCCCCCCUCGAGUACGUAGGCAACCCGUAAUACGCCUAUUCGGAGACAAACGUGCAACGGGGCCUGCCAGGAUGUAAAUGCGAGAUGCACUUUGAAUCGAAAUAUUUUUUGAAGAGAGACUCGUCUCGAGAGACACGGUAGGAUAGAUAGGAUAGGUGUGGAGUCGAGAAUAUGGCGGUGUUCGUUUGCAUGAAAAUGAAGAAAAGAAUUUAUUUCGCCCCGUAUGAGAAACGGCACGCGUUUCCAGCGAUGAUUUAUAAUGGCGGAGUCGGCCACGGAAUUUCGCGAUUGUUUGACAAAGGAUUUUUGCUCGGAUCGUUGGUUAUUGGAAGGCCGAGGGUUCCAACGCAAUAAUGCAUCGGGAUUGGAUUUCUCGAAUGGGAAAAGAAAAGAAAAAGACUGGAAAUUGAGCAGUUUUUACGAUUCGAUAACAAAGCCAGAAAAUCCUCUCUCUCUCUUUCAAAGAAGAAGAAGAAGAAGAAGAAGAAGAAGAAGAAGAAGAAAAAGGAGAAGGAGAAGGAGAAUUAAUUGGCACGAAAAUGUACGGAUGGAGAGAUAUGGUGGGGAAGAAAAGAAAAAGAGGAAAGUGGUAGUACGAAAACCGUCUCCUCUAACCGGCAAUUUCCGGCAAUACGAUCGAAGAAAGGGAGCAAAAUGAAGAAAGAUUGCGCAUGCAACGAGACACACAUUCUUCUCUCUCUCUCUCUCUCUCUCUCUCUCUGUCUCUCUCUCUCUCUCUCUCUCUCUCUCUCUCUCUCUGUCUCUCUCUCUCCUCGAGCAUCGAUACUUGGAAGCAACAAUGUGGCCCAACCGUGCAAUUUGCAUCCGAAACUAAGCGCGAAAGGGGUCGUUCCGUGCGAUGUGUGUUUUUCGUUUUCGAGUUUCGUGAUUUCGUGCAUCGAAACGAAACGAAGAUUCACGAUUAUUAAGAGCGGAGCUUGUAACAAUGUUUGCGGGUAACAUUUUCGAUUUUACAUCUCGAUAUCUCGUGAGAAUGUGAUAUAAAUUCGAAAGUUGAAUUUAUCGAAACAGCAGCGGGUUGGCAUAAAAUUAUCAAUCGAAUAUAUUUAUAUUUGUAGCUCAAUUUUUUAAAUCUUUGACAAUAAAAAUUGAAUCGAAUUUUCGUUUUAAAGAGAUACGAGUUUUCAGUUUCAUUUUCGGUUCGCUUGACUGGCUUUUCAAAAAAAAAAGGGAAAGGAAGACCUUUCGAAUUUAUCGUUUCGAAACGAAAUUCUCCGCCAGAUCGUUAAGCGCCUAUUUCGAAUACGCCUUGUUGUUGACGAACGACGAUAGAAAAAGAAGAAGUGGCGAAAGAAAGAAAGGGAUAACCGAUUAUCAACCGUGGUGGGCUGCUCGAUCGAUCAACUUGCGAAUAUGGCAAUAAUUUUCUCGGGCUCGAGAGCCGACUGGGGCGCCAUCUUCGAAUUACAUUUACAAUUACAUCGAACUCGUUAAAUUUUCUCCGAUAUCCUCGAAUUAAAUUAUAAUAAUUCUUGUUACGAAUAUCUUAUAUCUUCGUAUCACGCGUAACCUCAACUCGUGAAUUCGACUCACGGUUGAAGCUCCCUCGAAAUUAAUACUCGCGAAAAAGGGAAAAAGGAAAAAUAUACGAAGAGAAACAAAUCUCUCCUGGUGGCGAGGGCCGACCAUUCGAAGCAAUUAGCCUCUCUCUCUUUCUCUCUCUCUCUCUGUGAAAGCGUGGCUGGAUUUGCCGCCAAAUUGCAGCGAACGAAAUCGCGUUAAUACGUUUGCACUUUCGAAACUCGGCCGUUUGGGCCCCGAAGCCAGCUCCUCGAGGAGGAGCCUCCUCCUCGCGCAACGGAAAAACGGAGCAAGGGGGGAGGGAGCGAGAGGAGGGGGGAUGGCGGCCAUGGCUGGGUCGAGGACCAGUUCGACGAGCCCUCUCUGUGCCCUCGCCUCGCCUCGGACGAUACACAUUCGAUUUGGCGCGAUCGCACAGCUUGCUCGAAAAGAACGCAGCUUUACUUCGCUUCGAGCGAUACGUUUGAAAAAGAAAAAGGGAAAGGAAGGAAGAAAACGGUCGUUGUUUCACGGGGGCAGGAUUGUGUAGUAAUUAUUAUCCAAUGUUUGGGGAAGCGGGUUCGAUCUCUGGUCAACUACGGGAUAAUCCAUCGUGGCGGCGAUGAAUCAUGGGAGGAUGCCGAGGGAUAACCGAAGAAGCGUCUCCAAAAGGAUGGAGGGAGGGGUGUUCAGAAACUGCUCGCUUGAAAGAAGGAGAGGAAGGAGGGAGGAUGAUAAGCAGGCAGGAAGUCCGGUUGCCCUCCGUUUCUCGAGGAAAAAGGGAACAAAAUAAAAGCUUCCUUUCCCUCCCUUCUUUUUAAAAUUUUAAAAUUCUGCCAAUCCAAAGUGCGGUUUCUGAGGUAACGAGUUCGAAGAAAACCUUUUCCUUUUCGAGAAAAAAAAAUAGAACUUCUCCUCUUUCAACGUCUUGUUCGUUAUCUCUCUAAAAUUGUGCACCAAUUGCACAAUUGUGCAGACAAUUUCUCGUCUUUCCUAAGGAAAGUGUCUUAUCCUUCGGUCAAAUAUCAAAAAGUUGGUGAAAAAUUGAGAUAUUCGAUUCUCUCGCACGAUGAAACGCGACCCUUCCCACCCGCGCCUCUCCUAACGACGACGUCUUGGUCGUACGACGUCGACGACGACGAGGACGUGACGCGUAGGGUGGCUAACAACUUGGGGGGAUAUAAUUAGCGUCGGAAGAUAGUUAAUCAGGGAGAGGGGGGGAGAAGCGACGAGGGCGAACGCGACCUGUCGUCUCCUUAUUAAAGCCAAACAGAAGUGUCUAGGCGUUGUAGUGACGUCAUUAUUAAUUCAAGAACGCCCGCCGCUAAUGACCGCGGCAAUUACUCGCCGAUGCUGGAAUCCUCCUCUCCCGGGACAAGAAGAAUGGCCGUGGAGAUACAACGUUCGAUCCUUUGUUGUUUCUUGUCGCGUCUUUCUUUCUUCCUCUUCCUCUUCCUCUUUUCCUUUUUUCAUUUCGGACGGAUUUAUGAUCA